UCCACUAUCAUCGUACGCACCCUCCUCGCACUCGGUCUCACGUUCCAGCUCUAGCUGUUGGUCUCCACCCUCCUUUGCCUGCUCCCAGCCUCCCUGGACCUCCUCCCAUGGACAUUCACCUCGAAGAGCUCUCUAGGAAUCCAUAAGCUCAGCUCGGGAACCAGCACCGCCGGGCUUGGCAUGGCCAUGGCACAGCCUGCCCAUCCCAUCCUCUUGGAUCUCCCCAUGGUACUCCCCAACCUUCGCCACAACGGCUCCCUCAACGCAUCCCUACUUGACUCCCAUGGAGGCUCCGUCUCUGUCUUGCAAUGGAGGCCCUCGUAGCUGCUUCUCGCUUCGACCUUGUUAUGGCGCUGGAUGUGGUAUACUACGAGGUGUUGGUUGCCCUUGAUAGAGACGUUGCGGUUUUUCAUCAAGUGGGAGGUUGUGUUCGGGAUG
rnacentral:sRNA from 1 species